GCCGGAAGCGGCUGAGUCUCUAGGUAGUGCGGGACCUCACCUCUCUUACUGGAUUUCGGUCCUGGAAAAGACUAAAGUAAAGACCGGACGUUUUACUGCUCCCGGCACCUCGCCGGCCCGCCGAGGAGGCGCGUGGAGAUCUGAAGAGAUUUGCUGCCCGUGGAGCGUAGCCGCCCUCAGAUUGUGCACUACUUGUUGCAGCGAUGCUCGGGAGACUGACUCUUCCACAACUGCUUUUUGCUACCGUCCUUGGGAUUGCUGGAGGAGUGUAUAUUUAUCAGCCAAUAUUUGAACAAUAUUCCAGAGACCAGAAGGAAUUAAAAGAAAAGGUGAAAUUGUUGCAAGAGUCAGAAGAAAAGAGGAACUAAUUCUGCGUGGAGUGAAAACGUAGGCAUUGCUUACCAUUUGGUCUGUUGAAAUUGCACAUGGACUAUUACUCAAGUGAACAUUAGAUUCAGAUGGCCAAAUUCCUGCCCAGACAAGAAACCAAGAAGGUGAGGCAUCUCUCAGCUCCUCCAGAUCUCACCUUAUAGCAUGUCUGCCAAGGUCUUCUUGAUGUGUUUCUUACAGUCUCAGACUGUCUGCCAGUGAACCAAAAACAGAGGAAUAAAAAAUCACAAAAAGGAACCCUGGCAGGCUAUGCCCAGUCUGUCCCCAGCGAGGAUGCACAGCCAGGAAAAGGCUUCGGAGUCACCAGGGCACGCCUUGCCUCCCCCGGAUCCCCCAGCAGUUUGACCUUUUCAUGAAUGGCACUUUGGGUCUCAAAACGAAAACCACUCCCUAUGGUUCCCGCACCUUAUUCAACAGGACAAGAAGACCAGUUUCGGGCCAGGCGAGGGGAGAGGUCUUUUCUUUGACUGGGGGGCCUGUGGGCAGGUGAUAGGAGGCGGAGGUGGAGGCGCGCAGGGCCCGCCCCCACCGCUCUCUCCUACACGGGAAGUGAUGUGGGGCCGGAUGGAAAAAACCGCCAAGCACCCAAAAAAGGUCAGUCGCUUGGGGUCGCAAGCUCCGUUUGGAAGGGAGUCGGAAGAGAUUGACCACCCCGGGGACGCAACACCUUGAGGACCUAGCAUUGCAGGAACGCAACACGCGGGGACGGCACAGAGACAGCACCAAACCGGGUGAGCGCAGUGCGUCUUGAGCGCUGCAGGUUGAGGGCGAUCGACCAGGGGACAAUAAAUAAAUCUUUGGACGAGAUGCUGGGCCCGUUAAGCUAUAGGGGUUAGGGUCCAAGGUUAACCCAAGUGAAAGCUAGGUGCCAGAGUCCCCAUAAGGAGGUGAGAGUAAGGUAAACUCCACCUCCCUCCUCUUUCCUUACUUGGAUUUUCACUUUAAAGUCUUUAGAGCCCCGCUGCUUGCAGGCGACAUUCAGAGAACCCAGCCGGUCAGCCAGGUCUUAGAGUCACCCUACUGGGAGGUAAAAUUGAUACUUUAUACGAUGACACAUUUUGGUCCCUUUGCCAAAGCCGGGUCUCUGGUCCAGUAGCCGGGUACCGAUUUAGAAAUCUAAGUCUGAAGAGUAGGAGAUCUUGAGCCGCCUCAGCAGCCCCCUGGCCUUUGCACCCUGCGGUUCCCUGGCGUGUUCUCCACUGGCUUCUCUUACAAGCCCGAGGGCUAACAGCUGUUCUCAGUUAGUUGUUGAGCCCAGCUGCGUGAGUGAGGCAGGAGACAUUUUAAUCAUUUCUUUAAAGCUUUCUGGGGAGUGAAAACAGCACGGGAAAGGUAAUCCUGACAUCUGGGAGAUGGACAGAGAAAGAUUCAGGGUUCAAGGUCAGCCUUUGCUACAUAGACACCUUGAAGCCUGUCUCCAAAAAAUAAAUAGCACCAGCAAAGAGAAAGGAAGCAAGGAAGGAAAGAAAGAAAGAAAGCAUACAGUGAUGCUGUGCACACCUGAAUGAGGAUUGCUUUCUGUAUUUUCCCUUGUCUCCCUCCCUCUCCUCACCCCAUUCCCUGCUUCCUUUCCAUAGCCUGUCAUAAUAAUUUGUGUUUAUUAUAUAUUCAUAUUACAUAUAAGAUAUAUCACAUUAACAUAUUAAAUAUAUUUCUACUAUAGUAAUGGUAAUUAUAUUAGAUUAAAUAUAAUAUUAAAUAUAUUAAUUAAAUUUAAUUUUUGGUUUUGAGAUGGGGGUCUCACUGUGUAGCUCUGGAUGGACUGGAAUACACUAGUAGGCCAGGCUGAUCUUGAACUCACAGAGAGCUGCCUGCUUCUGUCUCCUGAGUCCUAGGAGCAAAGGCCUGGUCACCUUACUUUUGUUGAGCUGUGUUUCUCACUGAACCUGGAGCUCCUUGUCUGGACUGGUUGACCAGAAAGUUUCAGGGAUCCUCUUCUCCAAGCCUUAGGAUCACAUACCUGCACCUUCACACCCCAGUGUGAUUUGGGGGACCCCAAAGCAGACCUUUCUGCUUACACAGAAAGGAAUCUGCCCACUGAGCCGUCUCCCCAGCCAUUGCUUUGGUUUUGGUUUACUGAGACAAGGUCUCACUCUCAUACCCAGGCUGGCCUUGAGCUGGUGACAAUCCCACUUCAGCCUGGAAGUGCUGGCAUUAUUACAGCCGUGUGCCAGCAUGCCCAGCAAAUUGUUGGUCUGUUUGAGGUCAUGAAGUUUGUGCUGAUGAUUUUUUUGUACACUUAGAAUUAUUAUUGUAUUGGCUGCUCCAUUUCAUUUUUUGAUUAAUUUUAAGUUAAUAAUGUGUGUGGUGUGGGGCAGGGCAUCCAACUUUAUCUCCUCAAAUGUGGAUAUUGGAUAUUCACUUUUUCAAGCAGUGUUUGUUGACAAGACUCGAAAAUACAUCAAAUAUAAAUGUG